UAUUCUGCCCAUGCGGGAAGGAUGAGAAGCUUCAACUAAGGUUCGAUUCGAGCGUCAGCGAGAAAGCGUUGCCGCAGGCAACGACCCGAAGGGCGAAGCGCGCAGCGCGGAGUCAUCCUUCCCCCACCACCA
rnacentral:sRNA from 2 species